ACGCUGGCGGCACGCCUAACACAUGCAAGUCGAACGAAGUAGUAAUACUUAGUGGCAGACGGGUGAGUAACAUGUAGGUAUCUGCCCUUUGGCCUGGAAUAACACGAGGAAACUUGUGCUAAUACCGGAUAAGUCUUUACGGAGAAAGCUUUAUGCACCAUUGGAUGAGCCUGCACUUGAUUAGUUUGUUGGUGGGGUAAUGGCCUACCAAGACUGUGAUCAAUAGCUGAUUUGAGAGGAUGAUCAGCCACAUUGGGACUGAGACACGGCCCAAACUCCUACGGGAGGCAGCAGUGGGGAAUCUUGCACAAUGGAGGAAACUCUGAUGCAGCGAUGCCGCGUGAGUGAAGAAGGCCUUUGGGUUGUAAAGCUCUUUCGUCGGGGAAGAAAAUGACUGUACCCGAAUAAGAAGGUCCGGCUAACUUCGUGCCAGCAGCCGCGGUAAUACGAAGGGACCUAGCGUAGUUCGGAAUUACUGGGCUUAAAGAGUUCGUAGGUGGUUGAAAAAGUUGGUGGUGAAAUCCCAGAGCUUAACUCUGGAACUGCCAUCAAAACUUUUCAGCUAGAGUAUGAUAGAGGAAAGCAGAAUUUCUAGUGUAGAGGUGAAAUUCGUAGAUAUUAGAAAGAAUACCAAUUGCGAAGGCAGCUUUCUGGAUCAUUACUGACACUGAGGAACGAAAGCAUGGGUAGCGAAGAGGAUUAGAUACCCUCGUAGUCCAUGCCGUAAACGAUGUGUGUUAGACGUUGGAAAUUUAUUUUCAGUGUCGCAGGGAAACCGAUAAACACACCGCCUGGGGAGUACGACCGCAAGGUUAAAACUCAAAUGAAUUGACGGGGACCCGCACAAGUAGUGGAGCAUGUGGUUUAAUUCGAAGAUACGCGCAGAACCUUACCAACACUUGACAUGUUCGUCGCGACUCUAAGAGAUUAGAGUUUUCGGUUCGGCCGGACGAAACACAGGUGCUGCAUGGCUGUCGUCAGCUCGUGUCGUGAGAUGUUGGGUUAAGUCCCGCAACGAGCGCAACCCUCACUUUUAGUUGCCAUCAUUAAGUUGGGCACUCUAAAAGAACUGCCAGUGAUAAGCUGGAGGAAGGUGGGGAUGACGUCAAGUCCUCAUGGCCCUUACGUGUUGGGCUACACACGUGCUACAAUGGCAUCUACAACAGGAAGCAAAACGGCAACGUUAAGCAAAUCCCGAAAAGAUGCCUCAGUUCGGAUUGCACUCUGCAACUCGAGUGCAUGAAGCUGGAAUUACUAGUAAUCGUGGAUCAGCGUGCCACGGUGAAUGCGUUCCCGGGUCUUGUACUCACCGCC
rnacentral:rRNA from 1 species